GGAGAGGUGCAGGAGUGGUUGAACUGGCCGCUCUCGAAAAGCGGUGUGCCGCAAGGUACCGAGGGUUCGAAUCCCUCCCUCUCCGCCA
rnacentral:tRNA from 1 species